ensembl:lncRNA
CUGGCCCAGGGAAGCAGCUCCUCACCACUGUAACUUCUGGUUUGUAGCUGUGUAAACCGAGACAGGAUAUAGAUACAUCCUGUCUGAGUUAACAGCAAGAAAUAGGGCCUCACAGUGGGGUUCCUGCCAUAAAUCAGAACCCAUCUGAGAGUAAUCUAGAAUGGUAUGCAAGUCAGGGCUGCAUCCCCAUCAGCCCCGGAGGGAGGGAAGUGUCUGAAACAGGAACCCUGGAGAACUUUGAAGAGUGGGGGUGGAGUGAGCUGUCCUCUUCAGGCACUGAGGUUGCAGCCUGCACUUUCUCAGUGACUGUGCUGAAGUGAUCACAGUGGCUUCAGUCUUCUGUCUCCUUGACCCAGGCCCUGCACCCAGACACGGAGGCUGAAGCUGAGUAUUGCCCCCUGAGAAACUGAAAAACUCACAGAUGUGUUGGGGUGGCCUGGCAGGCCACUGUCGGGAAAGCCACCAAAGAGGCCUGACUCCCAUCUGAAACCCACUGACAGCUGUGGGAACGAAACUUUUAAAAAACUUUUUAAUUAACAGGGACUAAGCUCAGGACCAUGUCCAGCUCCAAGAGGCUGCUUUACCAGAGACCACUUCCAGAAGACAGUGUUAGGAGUGCCCUUCUGCCAUAAAGAAGGUUAAACUUGAAUCAUUUGUAGGAAAAUGGAUGCACCUUGAGACCACAAUGUUAAGUGAGAUAAAUUAUACACACAAAUUUACAUAUCACAUGGUUUUGCUUAUAUGUGAAGCUUAAAAUAUAAAGAGCAAAAUAAAAGAUAGAUAGUAGGAAGUAGGGAGAUAGAUCUUUCUUGAAUGGGAAGGGGAUCAAGAGAUGCAGGAAGGGGUAGGAAUGGAAGGGAAAGGGUAUUGAAAAAGAAUUAAUUUGUGUUAGGUGCAUGUACCAACGCCACACAAGGAAUACAAACAUGUACUACAAACAUGUACUAAUAAAAAUAAAAGCUAUAAAGGACAUUUAUAUAUUAAUUAUUUUGCUAUUUCUAACAUAAUCUGGGCAUUAGGACUUAUACUUUAGGGCUGGG